UACGAAGGGGGCUAGCGUUGCUCGGAAUUGCUGGGCGUAAAGGGCGCGUAGGCGGACAGUUUAGUCAGAGGUGAAAGCCCAGGGCUCAACCUUGGAACUGCCUUUGAUACUGGCUGUCUUGAGUAUGGGAGAGGUGUGUGGAACUCCGAGUGUAGAGGUGAAAUUCGUAGAUAUUCGGAAGAACACCAGUGGCGAAGGCGACACACUGGCCCAUUACUGACGCUGAGGCGCGAAAGCGUGGGGAGCAAACAGG
rnacentral:rRNA from 1 species